GGAGCGGCGGGGCCGGGCCGGGCUGGGUGGCGCGGCGGUCCGAGCUCCCCGCCCUGCUGGGCCGGCGUCGUGUUCUCUCUAGGACCGCCAAAGCUGUCUCGGCAGUGUCACUCGCGCCCUUGACCAGCGAGCCCGCUGGAAUUUAGUGACUGGGAUCGACGUCGCCGUUCGCAGUAAAGGGGAGCGCACGGACUCGGGGAAGGUCCCGUUCUCUGGUGAGGAGGUGGCCGCCCGCGCUCUGGGAGCAGGGGGAACUGGCUCCUCCUGGGGAGGAGAGUGCCUGGGGUAAGAAGCUCGGAGAUCAUCCUGACAUCACUGCAACCAUGAUUUCACCAGGCUCGUGCACUAUGAGGUUAUUGCGAUCUGAAAUCUCUGCUGCUGGAAGGAGGAAUUUAUUCACAAGACUCUAAUCCAGGAUGACCCUUCACUCCUACAAACCUGCUGAUGAGUGAUGGCAGUGCCCCCCGAGUCGAGCUCACAACAUGCUCAGGAGCUGCCUUCCUCUGGAGCAUCCUGCAUCACAGCCCCCGGGCCCUGAGUGCAAGGUGUACCUGUGAACCAACAGUGAAGCACACACCAAGGAUCUGCAGGACGCUCCUUCCCCUCACUGUGCACAGACCAUGCCAGGGGGUGGCACAUGCAGAUGGGCAGUGCUGGAGGGCACAAGCGACUGCAGCGGCUCCUUGCUGCUCCCGUGCAGACUGUGGAUGCCAUGGGGUUUACAGCCGGCCACGUCAGCAGCAGGAACGCAGCUCUGGCGUGCCCCUCUCCAUGGUGCAGGCUGGGCACAGGAGUGGUGCUUACAUAGGUGAGGAGAAAGCGUUUUUGCAACAGCAUGGAAAAUGUGUAUGAGGAGACAAGACAUCAGGCUGCCAUCAGCACAAAUGUAUCUGUGCCUUAUUUUUCUGCUUUCCUGGCUCCCAGACAAGUGCCACCAAAACCAACAAUUUUCCUGUCCUUUCUUUCCUUUGCUUUCACAAGUAUCUUAAACCAAACCCCUCCUUCCCAGCAGAAACAGGAUGUGCUGCUGGGUAUAGAAUAAAA